CGGAGGUUCCGAGGUGGGCCGCUCGGUUCCUGAUACAACCUCGGCAGGGCAACCUGCCGGCGGUACCAAACCACACUCUUCGAAUCUUGCAGUACACGUACAGAAAAUAAGACUAUCAAAACUUUCAACAACGGAUCUCUUGGCUCCAGCAUCGAUGAAGAACGCAGCGAAAUGCGAUAAGUAAUGUGAAUUGCAGAAUUUAGUGAAUCAUCGAAUCUUUGAACGCACAUUGCGCCCUUUGGCAUUCCUUAGGGCAUGCCUGUUCGAGCGUCAUCUACCCACCCCUCAAGCCUUGCUUGUCGUUGGGCGCAUGUCCCCCCCACCCCCGGGUAACCCGGCGGAGGACUCGCCCUAAAAUCAUUGGCGGCCCCCGAACCGGCGCAGAGUCCAGCACCUUUGCGGCUCCGGGCCGGCGCGUUGGCGUCCAGCGAAGCUACUUUUAUUACUUUUGACCUCGGAUCAGGUAGGGAUACCCGCUGAACUUAAGCAUAUCAAUAAGGCGGAGGAAAGGAUCAUUAUAGAGACACUAGCGAGAUAGUGCCCUUGCAUUUGCUGGCGGAGGUUCCGAGGUGGGCCGCUCGGUUCCUGAUACAACCUCGGCAGGGCAACCUGCCGGCGGUACCAAACCACACUCUUCGAAUCUUGCAGU
rnacentral:rRNA from 1 species